rnacentral:rRNA from 1 species
UGCCAGCANHMGCGGUUAAACUUAUUACUCCAGUUUAUCAUAAUAGGUUAAAACAAUAAGCCUAUAAAAAUUAAAUAAUGUUAAACUACAUAGAUUUUCAUCCAUUUUAGACAACUUACUAUAAACUCAUAAGAGAAACUAGGAUUGGACACCCUACUAUCCAUGAACUUAACAACUAACCAGAAGAUUAAAAGUCAAGCUCCAAAUUUAAAGAGUAUGGCAGUCUUUAAUCCUAUUGGGGGAUCCUGUUCUUUAAUCACCACUCCAUGCUAAUUUUCACCUUUAUUUAAAGAUUUGUCUAUUAUCGUACUUUAUUAGAUAUAAUAAAAGAAACUAAGCAGUAAUAAGUCAGAUUUAAUACAGUCUAUAAAGGAGAGAAUGGGAUACAGUGCAACAAAUAAAAUGUAAAAACAUUUUUGAAGUAGGACUCAACAGUAAUGAAAGAUUAAUUUUCUAUCAUGAAAAAGGACAAUAAAGAGGUACAUAUCGCCCGUCAUUCUUCAUAAAUUGAAGAAAAGUCGUAACAHAGUA